GCCGGGGUAGCUCAGCCAGGUGGAGCGCCCGGCUGUUAACCGGGCGGUCCCGGGUUCAAAUCCCGGCCCCGGCG
rnacentral:tRNA from 2 species